rnacentral:rRNA from 1 species
GUUGGGGAUGGGCUCGCGGCCUAUCAGCUUGUUGGUGGGGUAAUGGCCUACCAAGGCGUCGACGGGUAGCCGGCCUGAGAGGGCGACCGGCCACACUGGGACUGAGACACGGCCCAGACUCCUACGGGAGGCAGCAGUGGGGAAUAUUGCGCAAUGGACGAAAGUCUGANGCAGCAACGCCGCGUGAGGGAUGACGGCCUUCGGGUUGUAAACCUCUUUCAGCAGGGACGAAGCGAGAGUGACGGUACC